rnacentral:snRNA from 1 species
AGAUGUGAGGGCAAUCUGGCUGUGACAUCUGUCACCCCACUGAUGGCCAAGGUUGAUUUGGCUGAUCUGGCUGGCUAAGCAGGUGUCCCCUCCCUCCCCGACUGCUCCAUGUGCAUCCCUCCCGAAGCUGCGCAGCCUACCCCGAUAGAGACAGCACUGUUCAUUGGUCAAGUGGAUAUGGUAGCCGCACUCCCCUGCUAGAGCCUCCAAACAAGCUCCAGGUCCAUUUGCAGGAGAACAUAGGGUAAUGAAGCUUCCAAGACUGCAGACACAUCCAAGUGAGGCACUGCAUGGGGCAGUCUCCCACUGU